AGAUAUGUUCGGAGAGCGAAGCGAACAGUAUAAUCAAAAGAAAGCUCAAAUAGA
rnacentral:sRNA from 1 species